rnacentral:rRNA from 1 species
GAUGAACGCUAGCGACAGGCUUAACACAUGCAAGUCGAGGGGCAGCGGGGAUUUAGCUUGCUAAAUCUGCCGGCGACCGGCGCACGGGUGAGUAACGCGUAUGCAACCUACCUAUCAGUAAGGGAUAGCCCAUUGAAAGAUGGAUUAAUACCUUAUAAAGCAGGGGUCCCGCAUGGGAAUAUUUGCUAAAGAUUAAUCGCUGAUAGAUGGGCAUGCGUUCCAUUAGUUAGUUGGUGAGGUAACGGCUCACCAAGACAUCGAUGGAUAGGGGUUCUGAUAGGAAGGUCCCCCACACUGGUACUGAGACACGGACCAGACUCCUACGGGAGGCAGCAGUGAGGAAUAUUGGUCAAUGGACGAGAGUCUGAACCAGCCAAGUCGCGUGAAGGAUGACUGCCCUAUGGGUUGUAAACUUCUUUUAUAGGGGAAUAAAAAGUGGGACGUGUCCUAUAUUGUAUGUACCCUAUGAAUAAGCAUCGGCUAACUCCGUGCCAGCAGCCGCGGUAAAAC